rnacentral:rRNA from 1 species
AACGAACGCUGGCGGCAGGCUUAACACAUGCAAGUCGAGCGCCCCGCAAGGGGAGUGGCAGACGGGUGAGUAACACGUGGGAACGUGCCCCUUCGCUUCGGGAUAGCCUCGGGAAACUGGGAGUAAUACCGAAUACGCCGUAUUGGGAAAGAUUUAUCGGCGAAGGAUCGGCCCGCGUUGGAUUAGCUAGUUGGCGGUGUAAUGGACCACCAAGGCUACGAUCCAUAGCUGGUCUGAGAGGACGACCAGCCACACUGGGACUGAGACACGGCCCAGACUCCUACGGGAGGCAGCAGUGGGGAAUCUUGGACAAUGGGCGCAAGCCUGAUCCAGCCAUGCCGCGUGAGUGAAGAAGGCCUUAGGUUGUAAACUCUUCGCCGGUGAAGAUAAUGACGGUAACCGGAGAAGAAGCCCCGGCUAACUUCGUGCCAGCAGCCGCGGUAAU